rnacentral:sRNA from 1 species
AAUACAAUAGGGAAUAAGUAUUUUAAUACAGCACCUUUUUUUGGUUUUUGAAGUUUAUGAACCCAUUUGUUAUAAAAAUUGACCUAAUAACAGCUUCUACUCUGUGAUGACACUCUAUUAAAAUCAGCUCAUGGUGGAAUUAUAAGCCAACUGUUAUAUAAGGUUUAUAGAAAGUUUAACCUUGUUGAAGGACAGUGUUGAGCAAGAACUCCCUUCCUCUCCAAAACAACCUAUUUGUUUUGAUAGACAAUCGACAUUAAAAAAAAGUUUUGGGUGGAAAAGCUUUCUUGGAACAUCUGCAAGAACCUGAGCCUUUACCUGGACAAGUUUGUUCAACGUUUACUUUAUGUUUACAUUAUCGAAACCAACGUUUUCGUUCUAAACCUGUUGCAUGUGCCUGUGAACCAGAUUUUCAUGAUGGCUUUUUACUUGAAGUCCACAGAGAAAGCUUGGGUGAUGGAACUAGAAUGGCUGAUUCAACAACAAUGUUAUCAAUAAGUGAUCCAAUUCAUAUGGUGCUAAUCAAAACAGACAUAUUUGGUGAGACGAC